rnacentral:rRNA from 1 species
UACGUAGGGUGCAAGCGUUAUCCGGAAUUAUUGGGCGUAAAGAGCUCGUAGGCGGUUUGUCGCGUCUGCUGUGAAAACCCGAGGCUCAACCUCGGGCCUGCAGUGGGUACGGGCAGACUAGAGUGCGGUAGGGGAGAAUGGAAUUCCUGGUGUAGCGGUGGAAUGCGCAGAUAUCAGGAGGAACACCGAUGGCGAAGGCAGUUCUCUGGGCCGUAACUGACGCUGAGAAGCGAAAGCGUGGGGAGCGAACAGG